rnacentral:lncRNA from 1 species
AAUCAAUCACGACACUUUCAUGUGAAAUCUUUAGUGUUGUGAGACCUUAAAAGGGACAGAAAUUGUGCAUUCAGGGAGUUUGGAUUUUAAGGCAGUAGCUUGCCGAUGCUCGCAGCUGAAUAAAGCCCUUCCUUCUACAACUCGGUGUCUGAAAGGUUUUGUCUGGGGCUCGUCCUGCUACAUUUCUUGGUUCCCUGAACAGGAAGCGAGGUAACUGACGGACGGCCAAGGCAGCCCCUUGGGUGGCUUAGGCCUGCCCUGUGGAGCAUCCCUGCGGUGGACUCUGGCCAGCCUGAGUGACGCGAUCCAAAGAGCGCUCCCGGGUAGGAAAUUCCCCGGGUGGAACGCCUCGCCAGAGCAGCACGUAGCAGGCCCCCGAGGAGGAUUAACACACUGGCUGAACACUGGGAAGGAACUGGCACUUGGAGUCCGGACAUCUGAAACUUGCAACCCACUCUCUGUGCUAUGACUUCAUUACUCUUUCCCAGCCCAGCCCUGGGCAAGCCCCUUACGAAGUCUCAGGCUACCUGGAUGACCACCCUUUCUUAUGAUGCUGCAAGGAGGGCAGGUGGGCAGAGCCCCGUGCAUCCUGGGCUCAGGCCAGGGACCCAAGAGCUUGGGAGAAGCUGGUUCUCAGACUGAAGGCCAGAGCCCAGCACCUUGUCACCAUCCCGGGGAGCAUCAUGGCACACAACAACCAGAGCCAAGGUGAUUGGGCUUGGGGGCUCAGGAGGAGGCAGAAAAGAGAGAAGAGCUCAAUAUGGGCCUGAAGAUGUGCAGCUGCAUUCGUUAUUGUUCAGCUAAGAUGCAUUGAGCUCUGCGUGGGGCACUGUGCUAGGCACUCAGAUACCAUCCCACUUCACUGAGAUCCUGAUGCUAUCUCCUCCUGCCUGGGGGAGUUCAUCCCUGACUCAAACCUUGUUUUAUGUACCCAGUGGUGCCAAAAGGACUGGGUCUUAGGUAUUAGCAAGAGUAGGACAGAAGUAUAAGACCCUCUGGCUGGGCGCGGUGGCUCAUGCCUGUAAUCCCAGCAGUUUGGGAGGCCGAGGCAGG